GGGCCCAUAGCUCAAUGGUCAGAGCACGGGACUCAUAAUCCCUUGGUUCCAGGUUCGAGUCCUGGUGGGCCCACCA
rnacentral:tRNA from 1 species